rnacentral:lncRNA from 1 species
AACUUCUCCCCCAUAUUUUAAGCCACCCCCCAAACACACCAGCAAAGCAAUCAAAGAAUCAACCAAUCCAAUCAAGGCCAGAAGGGUUCCAGCAAGAAGCCUUUCUUUCCAAGGCUUUGCUUAGCUAAUCUCUCCUACCUACUGGAUCUCCCUUGCAUUAUAUAUAAUAGCCUCCAGUGAUCUCGUCUUCUCAACACAAGCACACCAGAUUUGCAUGCAUUGCAAGUAGUGUUCUUCUUGCUAAGUGCUGCAGACCAUUCGGCCAAGAAGC